UCACACGCGAUCUAGCGGUUAGGACUCCUGGCUUUCACCCAGGCAGCCCGGGUUCGACUCCUGGCAUGGGAG
rfam:Clonorchis sinensis DNA, scaffold: 1048, strain: Henan.